rnacentral:rRNA from 1 species
CCUACGGGUGGCAGCAGUGGGGAAUAUUGCGCAAUGGGCGAAAGCCUGACGCAGCGACGCCGCGUGAGGGAUGAAGGUCUUCGGAUCGUAACACUCUGUUAGCAGGGAAGAAAGGUCACUGUGCUAAUCAGUAGUGAAUUGACGGUACCUGCAAGGGACGCAUCGGCUAAUUCCGUGCCAGCCGCUGCGGCAAUACGGAGGGGGCGAGCGUUGAUCGGAAUUAUUGGGCGUAAAGCGCGCGUAGGCGGUAUGUCAAGUCAAGGGUGAAAGCCCUUCGCUCAACGUGGGAACUGCCUUUGAAACUGGCAGACUGGAGUUUGUGAGAGGAUAGUGGAAUUCCAGGUGUAGGAGUGAAAUCCGUAGAUAUCUGGAGGAAC